AAAUUGAAGAGUUUGAUCAUGGCUCAGAUUGAACGCUGGCGGCAGGCCUAACACAUGCAAGUCGAACGGUAACAGGAAGCAGCUUGCUGCUUUGCUGACGAGUGGCGGACGGGUGAGUAAUGUCUGGGAAACUGCCUGAUGGAGGGGGAUAACUACUGGAAACGGUGGCUAAUACCGCAUAACGUCGCAAGACCAAAGAGGGGGACCUUCGGGCCUCUUGCCAUCAGAUGUGCCCAGAUGGGAUUAGCUAGUUGGUGAGGUAACGGCUCACCAAGGCGACGAUCCCUAGCUGGUCUGAGAGGAUGACCAGCCACACUGGAACUGAGACACGGUCCAGACUCCUACGGGAGGCAGCAGUGGGGAAUAUUGCACAAUGGGCGCAAGCCUGAUGCAGCCAUGCCGCGUGUAUGAAGAAGGCCUUAGGGUUGUAAAGUACUUUCAGCGGGGAGGAAGGUGUUGCGGUUAAUAACCGCAGCAAUUGACGUUACCCGCAGAAGAAGCA
rnacentral:rRNA from 1 species